ACCAAAAACAUCAACAAUCUUGACGGCCAUACAUAUAUGUGCAAAAAUGCCAGGACUUUGGAACCUUAAAAUUUAAAUUCGGGAUCUAGAGACUGCGAAACAAUUCAUAGAAAGCUAUUGGAGCCCCAAUUUGGAAAAUUUAAACUAUUUCAACAUUUCUGGUAAAGAAACAUCACUAUUUAUGCCAAGACAAUCUUCUCUGACAAUCCGUCCAAGCAACGUCCAUUGUGAACAAGUAGAGAACAAAACAACGCAAAGACAAACGGAAUCAGUGGUAACAAAUGAAACGCACUACUCGUACUAGCCAAUCAUGAUGUUUUUCCAACAGUGCAAAGAUAACAAUGGUCAAUGGCUUGAAGCCAGGACUGCCGCAAAGAUUACAUUGUCCCCCAGACAUUGUGGUCUGAAGCGACCGCAAAAAUCGAAUAUCGACUGGGCUUCUGGCCACUAGGGUAAACCAAGGCAACAAACGUAACGUAAAAUAAUCAAAAGAUAAAAAUGCGAAAUACGAAAACAACACAGACCGCCGUUGCUGUCAAUGUUGGUCAAAAUUGUGCAAUUUCUUCUUGUCUUUUGGCAGUUUCUUUUUAUUCAGUCACUCAUUGUUUCUACUCGUGCCUUAUUUUAUUCGAUUUCAACCGAUGCAGCGCCAAAACCAAUUUUAAAACUCAUUAUCUUCGUUAAAAAGCGAA